rnacentral:rRNA from 2 species
UCAGCGGCGGACGGGUGAGUAACACGUGGGUAACCUGCCUGUAAGACUGGGAUAACUCCGGGAAACCGGGGCUAAUACCGGAUGCUUGAUUGAACCGCAUGGUUCAAUCAUAAAAGGUGGCUUUCAGCUACCACUUACAGAUGGACCCGCGGCGCAUUAGCUAGUUGGUGAGGUAACGGCUCACCAAGGCGACGAUGCGUAGCCGACCUGAGAGGGUGAUCGGCCACACUGGGACUGAGACACGGCCCAGACUCCUACGGGAGGCAGCAGUAGGGAAUCUUCCGCAAUGGACGAAAGUCUGACGGAGCAACGCCGCGUGAGUGAUGAAGGUUUUCGGAUCGUAAAACUCUGUUGUUAGGGAAGAACAAGUACCGUUCGAAUAGGGCGGUACCUUGACGGUACCUAACCAGAAAGCCACGGCUAACUACGUGCCAGCAGCCGCGGUAAUACGUAGGUGGCAAGCGUUGUCCGGAAUUAUUGGGCGUAAAGCGCGCGCAGGCGGUUUCUUAAGUCUGAUGUGAAAGCCCCCGGCUCAACCGGGGAGGGUCAUUGGAAACUGGGGAACUUGAGUGCAGAAGAGGAGAGUGGAAUUCCACGUGUAGCGGUGAAAUGCGUAGAGAUGUGGAGGAACACCAGUGGCGAAGGCGACUCUCUGGUCUGUAACUGACGCUGAGGCGCGAAAGCGUGGGGAGCGAACAGGAUUAGAUACCCUGGUAGUCCACGCCGUAAACGAUGAGUGCUAAGUGUUAGAGGGUUUCCGCCCUUUAGUGCUGCAGCAAACGCAUUAAGCACUCCGCC